UAUUGCACAAUGGGGGAAACCCUGAUGCAGCGACGCCGCGUGAGUGAAGAAGUAUUUCGGUACGUAAAGCUCUAUCAGCAGGGAAGAAAAAAAGUCCUUUGGACUUUGGACGGUACCUGACCAAGAAGCCCCGGCUAACUACGUGCCAGCAGCCGCGGUAAUACGUAGGGGGCAAGCGUUAUCCGGAUUUACUGGGUGUAAAGGGAGCGUAGGCGGUUUAGCAAGUCAGAAGUGAAAGCCCGGGGCCCAACUCCGGGACUGCUUUUGAAACUGUUGAACUAGAUUGCAGGAGAGGUAAGUGGAAUUCCUAGCGUAGCGGUGAAAUGCGUAGAUAUUAGGAGGAACACCAGUGGCGAAGGCGGCUUACUGGACUGUAAAUGACGCUGAGGCUCGAAAGCGUGGGGAGCAA
rnacentral:rRNA from 1 species